rnacentral:rRNA from 1 species
AUCGAACGCUGGCGGCAGGCCUAACACAUGCAAGUCGAACGAGUGGCGGACGGGCGAGUAGUGUAUGGGAAACUGCCUGAUGGACGGGGAUAACUACUGUAAACCUUAGCUAAUACCGCAAACUACCGUAUGAACCCUUAUGGGAUUAGCUAGUAGGUGAGGUAUUGGCCCACCAAGGCGACGAUCCCUAGCUGGUCUGAGAGGAUGAUCAGCCACACUGGGACUGAGACACGGCCCAGACUCCUACGGGAGGCAGCAGUGGGGAAUAUUGGACAAUGGGCGAAAGCCUGAUGGAGCCACGCCGCGUGUAUGAAGAAGGCCUUAGGGUUGUAAAGUACUGUCAGUAGGGAGGCGUUACCGACAGAAAAAGCACCGGCUAACUCCGUGCCAGCAGCCGCGGUAAUAC